rnacentral:rRNA from 1 species
UGCAGUCGACGGAAGGCCCUUCGGGGUACUCGAGUGGCGAACGGGUGAGUAACACGUGGGUGAUCUGCCCUGCACUUUGGGAUAAGCCUGGGAAACUGGGUCUAAUACCGAAUAGGACCACGCGCUUCAUGGUGUGUGGUGGAAAGCUUUUGCGGUGUGGGAUGGGCCCGCGGCCUAUCAGCUUGUUGGUGGGGUAAUGGCCUACCAAGGCGACGACGGGUAGCCGGCCUGAGAGGGUGACCGGCCACACUGGGACUGAGAUACGGCCCAGACUCCUACGGGAGGCAGCAGUGGGGAAUAUUGCACAAUGGGCGCAAGCCUGAUGCAGCGACGCCGCGUGAGGGAUGACGGCCUUCGGGUUGUAAACCUCUUUCAAUAGGGACGAAGCGCAAGUGACGGUACCUAUAGAAGAAGCACCGGCCAACUACGUGCCAGCAGCCGCGGUAAUACGUAGGGUGCGAGCGUUGUCCGGAAUUACUGGGCGUAAAGAGCUCGUAGGUGGUUUGUCGCGUUGUUCGUGAAAACUCACAGCUUAACUGUGGGCGUGCGGGCGAUACGGGCAGACUAGAGUACUGCAGGGGAGACUGGAAUUCCUGGUGUAGCGGUGGAAUGCGCAGAUAUCAGGAGGAACACCGGUGGCGAAGGCGGGUCUCUGGGCAGUAACUGACGCUGAGGAGCGAAAGCGUGGGGAGCGAACAGGAUUAGAUACCCUGGUAGUCCACGCCGUAAACGGUGGGUACUAGGUGUGGGUUCCUUCCUUGGGAUCCGUGCCGUAGCUAACGCAUUAAGUACCCCGCCUGGGGAGUACGGCCGCAAGGCUAAAACUCAAAGGAAUUGACGGGGGCCCGCACAAGCGGCGGAGCAUGUGGAUUAAUUCGAUGCAACGCGAAGAACCUUACCUGGGUUUGACAUGCACAGGACGCCGGCAGAGAUGUCGGUUCCCUUGUGGCCUGUGUGCAGGUGGUGCAUGGCUGUCGUCAGCUCGUGUCGUGAGAUGUUGGGUUAAGUCCCGCAACGAGCGCAACCCUUGUCCUAUGUUGCCAGCGGGUUAUGCCGGGGACUCGUAGGAGACUGCCGGGGUCAACUCGGAGGAAGGUGGGGAUGACGUCAAGUCAUCAUGCCCCUUAUGUCCAGGGCUUCACACAUGCUACAAUGGCCGGUACAAAGGGCUGCGAUGCCGUGAGGUGGAGCGAWUCYUUWMAAAGCCGGUCUYAGUUCGGAUCGGGRUCYGCAACYCGACCMCGUGAAGUCSKAGUMGCUMGUAAUCGCAGAUCAGCAACGCUGCGGUGAAUACGUUCCCGGGCCUUGUACACAYCGCCCRUCACGUCAUGAAAGUCGGUAACACCCGAAGCCGG